rnacentral:rRNA from 1 species
AGUGAACGCUGGCGGUAGGCCUAACACAUGCAAGUCGAACGGCAGCACAAUAAGAGCUUGCUCUUACGGGUGGCGAGUGGCGGACGGGUGAGGAAUACAUCGGAAUCUACUUUUUCGUGGGGGAUAACGUAGGGAAACUUACGCUAAUACCGCAUACGACCUACGGGUGAAAGCAGGGGAUCUUCGGACCUUGCGCGAUUGAAUGAGCCGAUGUCGGAUUAGCUAGUUGGCGGGGUAAAGGCCCACCAAGGCGACGAUCCGUAGCUGGUCUGAGAGGAUGAUCAGCCACACUGGAACUGAGACACGGUCCAGACUCCUACGGGAGGCAGCAGUGGGGAAUAUUGGACAAUGGGCGAAAGCCUGAUCCAGCCAUACCGCGUGGGUGAAGAAGGCCUUCGGGUUGUAAAGCCCUUUUGUUGGGAAAGAAAAGCAGCAGGUUAAUACCCCGCUGUUCUGACGGUACCCAAAGAAUAAGCACCGGCUAACUUCGUG